rnacentral:rRNA from 1 species
UGAACUUAAGCAUAUCAAUAAGCGGAGGAAAAGAAACUAACAAGGAUUCCCCUAGUAACUGCGAGUGAAGCGGGAAAAGCUCAAAUUUAAAAUCUGGCGGUCUUUGGCUGUCCGAGUUGUAGUCUGGAGAAGCGUUUUCCGCGCUGGACCGUGUACAAGUCCCUUGGAAUAGGGCGUCAUAGAGGGUGAGAAUCCCGUCUUUGACACGGACUACCAGUGCUUUGUGAUGCGCUCUCAAAGAGUCGAGUUGUUUGGGAAUGCAGCUCAAAAUGGGUGGUAAAUUCCAUCUAAAGCUAAAUAUUGGCGAGAGACCGAUAGCGAACAAGUACCGUGAGGGAAAGAUGAAAAGCACUUUGGAAAGAGAGUUAAACAGUACGUGAAAUUGCUGAAAGGGAAACGAUUGAAGUCAGUCGCGUUGUACAGAACUCAGCCUGGCUUUUGCUUGGUGUAUUUUCUGUAUGACGGGCCAGCAUCAAUUUUGGCCGCUGGAAAAAGGCUUCAGAAAUGUGGCACCUUCGGGUGUGUUAUAGUCUGAGGUCAUAUACAGCGGCUGGGAUUGAGGUCUGCAGCACGCCUUUAUGGCUGGGGUUCGCCCACAUUCGUGCUUAGGAUGCUGGCGUAAUGGCUUUAAACGACCCGUCUUGAAACACGGACCAAGGAGUCUAACAUGCCUGCGAGUGUUUGGGUGGAAAACCCGAGCGCGCAAUGAAAGUGAAAGUUGAGAUCCCUGUCGUGGGGAGCAUCGACGCCCGGACCAGACCUUUUGUGACGGAUCUGCGGUAGAGCAUGUAUGUUGGGACCCGAAAGAUGGUGAACUAUGCCUGAAUAGGGUGAAGCCAGAGGAAACUCUGGUGGAGGCUCGUAGCGAUUCUGACGUGCAAAUCGAUCGUCAAAUUUGGGUAUAGGGGCGAAAGACUAAUCGAACCAU